rnacentral:rRNA from 1 species
GAUGAACGCUGGCGGCGUGCCUAAUACAUGCAAGUCGAGCGAACGGACGAGAAGCUUGCUUCUCUGAUGUUAGCGGCGGACGGGUGAGUAACACGUGGAUAACCUACCUAUAAGACUGGGAUAACUUCGGGAAACCGGAGCUAAUACCGGAUGAUAUUUUGAACCGCAUGGUUCAAAAGUGAAAGACGGUCUUGCUGGCACUUAUAGAUGGAUCCGCGCUGCAUUAGCUAGUUGGUAAGGUAACGGCUUACCAAGGCAACGAUGCAUAGCCGACCUGAGAGGGUGAUCGGCCACACUGGAGCUGAGACACGGUCCAGACUCCUACGGGAGGCAGCAGUAGGGAAUCUUCCGCAAUGGGCGAAAGCCUGACGGAGCAACGCCGCGUGAGUGAUGAAGGUCUUCGGAUCGUAAAACUCUGUUAUUAGGGAAGAACAUAUGUGUAAGUAACUGUGCACAUCUUGACGGUACCUAAUCAGAAAGCCACGGCUAACUACGUG